rnacentral:rRNA from 1 species
GGAUGACGGCCUUCGGGUUGUAAACUCCUUUUCUCAAGGAAGAACUCAAUGACGGUACUUGAGGAAUAAGCCCCGGCUAACUCCGUGCCAGCAGCCGCGGUAAUACGGAGGGGGCGAGCGUUGUCCGAAUUUACUGGGCGUAAAGAGCGCGUAGGCGGAGCUGUAAGUCUGUCGUGAAAGCCCGGAGCUCAACUCCGGAGGGUCGAUGGAUACUGCAGUUCUUGAAGGCACUAGGGGGAGAUGGAAUUACAGGUGUAGCGGUGAAAUGCGUAGAUAUCUGUAGGAACACCAGUGGCGAAGGCGGUCUCCUGGGGUGCACUUGACGCUGAGGCGCGAAAGCUGGGGGAGCGAACGGGAUUAGAUACCCCGGUAGUCCCAGCCCCAAACGAUGGAUACUAGGUGUGGGGGGUAUCGACCCCCCCCGUGCCGUCGCUAACGCAUUAAGUAUCCCGCCUGGGGAGUACGGCCGCAAGGUUGAAACUCAAAGGAAUUGACGGG